rnacentral:rRNA from 1 species
UACAGAGGUCUCAAGCGUUGUUCGGGAUUCAUUGGGCGUAAAGGGUGCGUAGGUGGCGUGGUAAGUCGGGUGUGAAAUUUCGGAGCUUAACUCCGAAACUGCAUUCGAUACUGCUGUGCUUGAGGACUGGAGAGGAGACUGGAAUUUACGGUGUAGCAGUGAAAUGCGUAGAGAUCGUAAGGAAGACCAGUGGCGAAGGCGGGUCUCUGGCCCGGUACUGACGCUGGAGGAAGCGGAAAGCGUGGGGAGCAAACAGG